UACGAAGGGGGCUAGCGUUGCUCGGAAUUACUGGGCGUAAAGCGCGCGUAGGCGGGUCGUUAAGUCGGGGGUGAAAUCCUGGAGCUCAACUCCAGAACUGCCUUCGAUACUGGCGAUCUUGAGUCCGGGAGAGGUGAGUGGAACUCCGAGUGUAGAGGUGAAAUUCGUAGAUAUUCGGAAGAACACCAGUGGCGAAGGCGACUUACUGGACAACUGUUGACGCUGAGGUGCGAAAGCGUGGGGAGCAAACAGG
rnacentral:rRNA from 1 species